rnacentral:rRNA from 1 species
GACGAACGCUGGCGGCGUGCUUAACACAUGCAAGUCGAGCGGUAAGGCCCUUUCGGGGGUACACGAGCGGCGAACGGGUGAGUAACACGUGGGUGACCUGCCCUCAGCUCUGGGAUAAGCCUGGGAAACCGGGUCUAAUACCGGAUAUGACUCCAUGACGCAUGUUGUGGGGUGAAAGCCUUGUGCGGCUGAGGAUGGGCCCGNGGCCUAUCAGCUUGUUGGUGGGGUGAUGGCCUACCAAGGCGACGACGGGUAGCCGGCCUGAGAGGCGACCGGCCACACUGGGACUGAGACACGGCCCAGACUCCUACGGGAGGCAGCAGUGGGGAAUCUUGCGCAAUGGGCGAAAGCCUGACGCAGCGACGCCGCGUGAGGGAUGA